rnacentral:misc_RNA from 1 species
AAAACGGCUUAUCCAUCUAACCCUGUUUUUCUUUAUUUCGAGGCUAACCGUCACAGUAUUAUACUUUUCCUUUAAUAUAUAAACAAAAGCGGUGAAGAUGGCCAAACAUUGGGGGGUGAUGGUAAUUACUUGAGAGGAUUACUGACAGUGUUGUGGAGGGGCGCCGAUUCAGUCCCAGUAAACUCACUGACUGUUCGAUUGGAAUAAUUAUUAAUUAAGAAAAUCACAAAAAAUGAGCAAACGGUGGAUUUCUAUGGGCCGAGGAAAAGCAAGAGAGGAGGGGAGCAGCCUAAAGAAACUGGCCGCUGGUUCCCUGACUUUUGUAAAGGCGUACUCCAGUGGUCAAGCCAGCUCCGCCAUCGACGGAUUGGAGGACGAACUCGAGGCUGAGAUACAACGGGAAAAACAAACUGUCGCAACUGCAGGAUUCGCCAGGUGGCGGUACAGAGGCAGCAAAGUGCUCCGUAGUAAAUACGUCCUGCUGAUGAUUGUUCUGUUAAACAUCGUGGAUUGUGCCCUUGUUCUCGGUGAACUCGUCCUUGACCUCAAUCACGUCAAAAAUAUAAUAACAGACACAGAGACCAUGUCCCUUACAUUCCAACAGAACCUGUCCUACAGGUAUCCAGAGAGGUUCCGAGUAGAGGACUCCAGACUCGGUCUGCAGAGGGCCUACAACACGGUCCUCCAGGGAAAACUCACGUGGUAUGCCAAGAAUAACAACACCAACACCAACAAUAGGACUAAGCACAGAGACGCUUCCACCCAGACCACCCCCGGGGUCCAGGGAACGGACCUAUCAGACAGUAAACCAAACCGCACGCGGGAGAGUUUGGGGAGCGUCCAAACCAAGGGCAGGACCCGAAGGUCAAUUGGUGAUGAUCCGGGGUCAGUGGUUCCGAAAAUUCAGGUCCAGGAGAACAGUUUGGAGGAGAGCCUGGCCAGCGCCUUCCAUGGCCUCAGUCUAUUUAUAGUCGUUGUCCUACUUACUGAGACGUCUCUGAAGGUCGUCUGCUUUGGCAAACAUUUCUUCAACCAGAAGCUGGAGGUUUUUGACGCGUGUAUUGUGCUUGCCUCUUUCACCGUAGACUUUGUCUUUGUGAACGGAAUGGCGGCCGAUGAUAUUCAAGAUUUUGUUUUCAUCCUGGCAUUUAUGUUACCAUGGGGAGUUAUUCGAGUGGUUAAUAGUUUGGUGGUUGCUGUGAGGGACCAUGAACACUUCCGGUUAAAACUUCUGUACACACAGAAAAAGAAAGUAGAACAAGAAAACAAACAGCUUCGUCAAGAUAAAGACAAGUAUUCAGAGCAAUUGGAUUCAAUGCGAAGGCUUUGUUUGGCGGAAGGAAUAGAAGACUGGAAGAUCCAACAAACCAUAGCUCGACAGCCAAUGAAAUCGGGAAAAGGAAUAAUGGGUUCCUUUGCUAGCCUCGCUUUGGGAGCUUUAGGAGGACACAAGUCAAACGGGUCUAGUUUCUGGAAUCUACUGGCGACCCCAAAAUUACGACGAGGUAAAUCAGAGGAAUGGGAAGGAAAGACCGGGGUCCAAACCAAGGAGGAUACAAGAUCACUGAGGUACACGGACAGGGUCUGGACCGUGGCUGGGACCUCCGACCUUCACAAGAAAAACAAAAAAGCAAGGUCACUCUCACACCAAAGUACUGUGGACAGUGAUCCGGGAACACCGACCAUUAUCAAGGGGAGAUUGAAGGCUAUCAAACGAUUUCUGCGGCGUCAGGACCCGAUAGACAAUGCGUCAUUUUCUUCCAUAGACACCGCUGAGAAAGACUCCAAGUGCUCGUUGAAUAACAUCACACCGUCAGAAAACUCGUCCCCGCCCAUCAGUUUUGAAUUCGAUAGCAUGGACGAUAUUGAUCAUCACGUGUCAUGUUCCCCAGCAUGCGAGAUCAUAAACGAGGUUUCACGAGAAGUGAGUUACACUGACAGCCAUUCUUAUUGUGAUCGAAGAGAAAGCACGAAGUCGUGCUCAGAGCCGAAUGAAGAAGAGAGUGCGUACAUGCGCAGAAACAGUAGUAAAAAGUCAAUUCGAGAACCGCGCCGGGCGAGCUCGAAGAGACGUAGAGAAGGACUGAGCAUGCGCCGCUGUGAGUCUAAUCCAGAAGAGGACUCUGGAACCACAGUGGAGAGGAUUAUAUAUGACAUUCCUGAUGAAUCAAAGGAAGAAACGCCAGAAACCAGUAGAAAAGUUUUAUUUUAUAACAAUAGCGAUGACCUACUGGAAAACAGAAGCACUGAAACAAUCAUCGCGCAUUCAGACAUUGAAAGUGAAACUAACAAUCGGGAUACUUCCGCAACACACGCAUGCCCACUCAAACAAGUCAGUCAUUCUGUGAGCGAAAAUGUAACAAAACCAAAUGAAACAGCAAUUACUGAUCAUCAUAAAAAUGAAAAUGCAGACGAUAAAACAGAAGAGAACAAAAUUGACUCUAAAGAAAAAAAGUUGUUUGAAUCAAACUUUGAGAAAGUCCCGCAUGUAAGCGAGACAAGCUAUAAGCCAAAGUUUGACAGGAGACUUAUUCCAAAUUGUUCUGUGCAAAGAAACCGGAGGGGAAAUAAAUCUCACCGGUGACUGCAGUUCAAAAACCGGAAAUAGUUGUGACGAUGUUGACGUGUGCGAUGAUGAUGACGUUUUGCAUCCUUUGUUACAACAGUAACACCACAUUUGAAUCGAUAAUGAAUGUUGUUUAAUGCAUAAUCAUUUAUAUAUAUAUGCAAUGCAUACAGGUCAUUUCAAAUACACUAUUAAAAC